CUACCUCAAAUUAGGUGAGACUACCCGCUAAAUUUAAGCAUAUUAUUAAGCGGAGGAAAAGAAACUAACCAGGAUUUCAUUAGUAGCUGCGAGCGAACAUGAAAAAGCCCAGCACUGAAUCGUUAGUAUUUAUAUACUAAUGAAAUGUAGUGUUUAAGAAGGUUUUAUUACUCUAAAGUAGUUACUUUGUUUAAGUUUAUCUUGAAUGGGGCCAUGGUCCAUAGAAGGUGCCAGGCCUGUAAUAGCAAAGAACUGUCUUUAGAUAAACCUUUCUUUAGAGUGCAACCUUAAGUGGGUGGUAAACUCCAUCUAAGGCUAAAUAUUACCACGAGACCGAUAGUAAACAAGUACCGUGAGGGAAAGUUGAAAAGAACUUUGAAGAGAGAGUUCAAAAGUACGUGAAACCGUUUAGGGGUAAACGGAAAGGAACUGAAAAUCCGAAAAGGGAGAUUCACGUCUUCUCAUUUGUUGGUAAUAUAUUUUAUUUAGGAUAACUAAUAGGCUGUACAUUUAAUGUAUAAGUUUUAUUAAUUACCUAUGUAUAUAUUAACCAGCUAUGGUGGACCGCAUUUCUCUCUAAGUAGGACGUCGUGACCCACUUGCAUUAUUAAAUUCAAAGACAAGCAUAUUAAGUCUUGUUAUAAUUUUUUUUUGGAAAUUUAUAAUAAGUAGUUUGUUUUUGUUAAAAUAGCUGGUGGUAUAAAACGACAGUGGGAGCCGCUUUUUUUUUAGCGUAUAUUCUGCACUUAUAUUUGCAGUUUAGUUGAUUUAGUAAAAAGGUUUUCCUUUUUCUAGUCUACUUGCUGUUAUUUAUUAAGAGUAGUUAUAUGGGCUCACAACACUAGUCGACGGCGCUACAGUUUCAGUAACUUUUCCGACCCGUCGAAACACCCAAGGAGUCUAACAUGUGCGCAAGUCAUUGGGUUAAUAAACCUAAAGGCGAAACAAAAGUAAAGUAAGCAAUGCUUUAUAUAAGGAGGAUGGUUCUUAACAAUUUUUGUUAAAGCCCGCACUCCUGGGGCGUCUGUUACUCAUUGCGAGUUAAGGCGCACCUAGAGCGUACACGUUGGGACCCGAAAGAUGGUGAACUAUGCCUGGCCAGGAUGAAGCCAGGGGAAACCCUGGUGGAGGUCCGUAGCGAUUCUGACGUGCAAAUCGAUCGUCAGAGCUAGGUAUAGGGGCGUAAGACCAAUCGAACCCUCUAGUAGCUGGUUCCCUCCGAAGUUUCCCUCAGGAUAGCUGGUGCCGAUGAUGAUAUUGAGUCUCAUCCGGUAAAGCGAAUGAUUAGAGGCAUUGGGGCCGAAACGACCUCAACCUAUUCUCAAACUUUAAAUGGAUGAGAGCCCUGGCUUGCUUAAAAAUGAAGCCAGGGAAUUGGAUCUAGGUGCCAAGUGGGCCAAUUUUGGUAAUGUGGGAUGAACCAAACGCAAAGUUAAGGCGCCUAAAUCAACGCUCAUUAGACACCAUGAAAGGCGUUGGUUGCUUAAGACAGCAGGACGGUGGCCAUGGAAGUCGGAAUCCGCUAAGGAGUGUGUAACAACUCACCUGCCGAAGCAACUAGCCCUGAAAAUGGAUGGCGCUGUAGCGUUGUGCCUAUACUUUGCCGUCAACGGCAAAUUAAGCUUGCAUAUGAAAAUAUGUUUUGCUAUUAAGCCUUGACGAGUAGGAGGGUCGCAGCGAUGAGCGCAGAAGGGUCUGGGCGUAAGCCUGCCUGGAGCCGUCGCUGGUGCAGAUCUUGGUGGUAGUAGCAAAUACUCCAGCGAGGCCCUGGAGGGCUGUUGUGGAGAAGGGUUUCUUGUGAACAGCUGUUGCACAAGAGUCAGUCGAUCCUAAGCUCUAGGAGAAAUCCUAUGUUAAUUUGGUGCUAUAAAAUCAGAAAUGAAGGCAUCAGAUGAGCAAAAGGGAAUCUGGUUCCUAUUCCAGAACCUGGUAUCGGAACUGUUUCAAAUCGGGCCCUCAUAUGGACUCGUCGGGGUGACCCAAAAAGACCCGGAGAAGCCGUUGGGAUGUUUGGGGAGAGUUGUCUCUUCUCUAUAAGCGUUCGAGUUCCCUGGAAUCCUCUAGCAGGGAGAUAGGGUUUGGAACGCGAAGAGCAUCGCAGUUACGGCGGUGUCCAAAACAGUCCUUCGGACCAUGAAAAUCCGGGAGAGGGCAACGAGGAACACCGAACCAGAUCGUACCCAUAUCCGCAGCAGGUCUCCAAGGUGAAUAGCCUCUAGUCGAUAGAAUAAUGUAGGUAAGGGAAGUCGGCAAGUUCGAUCCGUAACUUCGGGAUAAGGAUUGGCUCUGAGGAUCGUGGCGUGCUGGGCUUGGUCGGGAAGUGGAGCGGUGUCAAGUGCCGGGCCUGGGUACGGUGUUAAAUUUAUUUAAUACUUAAGCUCGGUCCCGCGCCUUGGCCACCCACGGAUCUUCCUUGCAACAGUUUCUUAACUGCAGUUGCCGGUCUUACGGCUGGUAAACGGGUUUUGAUAUCUUUUCGGCCGCCUUUUAACGAUCAGCUCAGAACUGGCACGGACCAUGGGAAUUCGACUGUCUAAUUAAAACAGAGCAUUGCGAUGGCCCCGACGGGUGCUGACGCAAUGUGAUUUCUGCCCAGUGCUCUGAAUGUCAACGUGAAGAAAUUCAGAUAAGCGCGGGUAAACGGCGGGAGUAACUAUGACUCUCUUAAGGUAGCCAAAUGCCUCGUCAUCUAAUUAGUGACGCGCAUGAAUGGAUUAACGAAAUUCCCAUCUGUCCCUAUCUACUAUCUAGCGAAACCACUGCCAAGGGAACGGGCUUGGAAUGAUUAGCGGGGAAAGAAGACCCUGUUGAGCUUGACUCUAGUCUGGUACUGUAAGGGAACAUGAGAGGUGUAGCAUAAGUGGGAGACAGUGAAAUACCUGUCAACAAUGAAAUACCACUACUCUCAUAGUUUCCUUACUUAUUCGAUGAGGCGGAAGGCGUCUGCUUAGGGUUAUAUAACCCAAGUUAGACGGUAUUCUUGCGCCAAGCGCUAGGGUUGUCGAAUAGUUCAGUGAAAAUAUGAAAGUCUAUACAUCAGCAGACGUGAAAAUGUUGUACAGUAAACUUACGCUUUGAUUAUAAUAAAAAUUGUUCACGCAAAUAAUAAAAAUUUUCAUUUACUAUUUUACAUAGUGCACAUUAUAAACAAUGCUAAUGAAAUGCUCCAUGUUGUAGCUGUCUAUCGUCAACAUAAUCCCUAGCGUGAUCCGAUUCGAAGACACUAUCAGGCAGGGAGUUUGACUGGGGCGGUACAUCUGCCAAAUAAUAACGCAGGUGUCCCAAGGCCAGCUCAGCGAGGACAGAAACCUCGCGUAGAGCAAAAGGGCAAAUGCUGGCUUGAUCUCGAUGUUCAGUAUGCAUAGAGACUGCGAAAGCAUGGCCUAUCGAUCCUUUUAGCCUGAAGGGUUUUCAGCAAGAGGUAUCAGAAAAGUUACCACAGGGGUAACUGGCUUGUGGCAGCCAAGCGUUCAUAGCGACGUUGCUCUUUGAUCCUUCGAUGUCGGCUCUUCCUAUCAUUGCGAAGCAGAAUUCGCCAAGUGUCGGAUUGUUCACCCGCUAAUAGGGAACGUGAGCUGGGUUUAGACCGUCGCGAGACAGGUUAGUUUUACCCUACUAAUUAAAACGUUUUUGCGUUAGUAAUCCUGCUCAGUACGAGAGGAACCGCAGGUUCGGACAUAUGGUUCAUGCACUCGGUCGACAGGCCGGUGGUGCGAUGCUACCAUCCGUGGGAUUAUGCCUGAACGCCUCUAAGGCCGAAUCCCUUCUAAAUAGCAAAAAUACUUUUACGGGCCCCGUGAUGUCGAAAGGCUCACGCAAUGUGAUUGUAUAGGUGGUCAGCAAUUAAGUUUGAUCAUCGCAUACGCCUAUUGUAGUAGCUUAUUAUUUGUUUCAUUACUUAUUAUUAUAUAAAUAAUGUACAAAAUAAGUUUACAUUCAAUGGGUUACCCCUUUUGGGGAGUUCGAUGACGAGGCCCCGAAUAGUUUGUAGACGACUUGAACGCUGGGCGGGGUGUUGUACUCGGUUA
rnacentral:rRNA from 1 species